rnacentral:snoRNA from 2 species
CAGCAUUCUUAAACCCUCUUGGUAGCCUUGCUGUAAACGCUUCCAAGAUAUGAGUGAAUGCGACAGAAAAUGGCAGAUUAAUCCAAAGUGCUAAGUAUUUUCUUUUGACUUGGCAUUAUUUCAGAUCUGUGACAAUUU